rnacentral:rRNA from 1 species
GGAUGGUCAGCCACACUGGGACAGAGACACUGCCCAGACUCCUACGGGAGGCUGCAGUCGAGGAUCAUUGUCAAUGCGCGAAAGCGUGAACAUGCGACGCUGCGUGGAGGAUGAAAGCCUUCGGGUUGUAAACUCCUGUCAUGAGGGAAAAGCUGUCUUGGGCCUAACAGGUCCAGGAUUCGAUGGUACCUCAAGAGGAAGCCACGGCUAACUCUGUGCCAGCAGCCGCGGUAAUACAGAGGUGGCGAGCGUUGUUCGGAUUUACUGGGCGUAAAGCGUACGUAGGUGGUUUCGUGUGUCGGGUGUGAAAGCCCAUGGCUCAACUGUGGAAUUGCAUUCGAAACUGCGGAACUAGAGUGCAGGAGGGGAGAGCGGAAUUCUUGGUGUAGCGGUGAAAUGCGUUGAUAUCAAGAAGAACACCGGUGGCGAAGGCGGCUCUCUGGAAUGUUACUGACACUGAGGUACGAAAGCUGGGGGAGCAAACAGGAUUAGAUACCCUGGUAGUCCCAGCUGUAAACGGUGUGGACUUGGUGUUGGCGGUAUUGACCCCGCCAGUGCCGGAGCUAACGCGUUAAGUCCACCGCCUGGGGAGUACGGCCGCAAGGCUAAAACUCAAAGAAAUUGACGGGGGCCCGCACAAGCGGAGGAGCAUGUGGCUUAAUUCGAUGCAACGCGAAGAACCUUACCAGGGCUUGACAUGCAGCUGCAAGCCUCUCGAAAGGGAGGCCGCCUUCGAGGGUGCUGCACAGGUGCUGCAUGGCUGUCGUCAGUUCGUGCCGUGAGGUGUUGGGUUAAGUCCCGCAACGAACGCAACCCCUAUGUCUAGUUGCCACCACCGGUGAUGAGCCGGUGAGCACUCUAGACAGACUGCCCGUACAAGCGGGAGGAAGGUGGGGACGACGUCAAGUCAGUAUGGCCCUUACGCCCUGGGCUGCACACGUGCUACAAUGGCCGGUACAGAGGGAAGCAAGACCGCGAGGUGGAGCAAAUCCUCAAAACCGCCCUCAGUUCGGAUUGGAGUCUGCAACUCGACUCCAUGAAGUUGGAUUCGCUAGUAACGGCGUAUCAGCUACGGCGCCGUGAAUACGUUCCCGGGCCUUGUACACACCGCCCGUCACAUCAUGAAAGCCGUCGACACCCGAAGUCGUUGAUCCAACCCGCAAGGGAGGAAGGCGCCGAAGGUGUGGGUGGUGAUUGGGAUGAAGUCGUAACAAGGUA